GAGCCACUCAGAGCGCCUGGCAGAGGACACCCGGGGGCCCCACAAUUAAUACCCGGCGCCCGCCCGCCGCGCCGGGAUUCGCCCGACUGUUGUCUUGGAAGGAGGCUCUAGGUCAGCUCUGAGGCCGCAGAUCGCUUUACUCCAAACGCUACGUCCAUCCGGAGCGGAUCAGACCUCCCCGCGCACUCCUGAAGAGCGAGCUGGGGCUGAGGACCGUGCUGCGGACCCUGAGAUCUAGCGUGAUCUUGCGUUCUCCAGGGCGCCGGGACCUUGUCGAGGGAGGCAGGUGGGCGAAGGCCGUUGCGCAGGAGAGCGAGGUGAGUAGGGUCGGGAAGUAGAUGGUCUCGGAGGACGUUUUCUGGGUCUGGAGCAGGCCCUUGCUCUGAGUUGUUCUCUCGACUGGACCCCUAAGUUUCUCUGUAGACCCGCGGGAGGCUGAAAGUUAAGUUGCUAAAAUGUGUUUAUCCUUGCGGAGAGAGUGAGGCAGUCACUCCCCCAUCCUAGGCUUAGGUCGCGACCGAACCCGGCGUCCCCUGCCCCGGGGCUGCGACCACACCUGGGGCUCUACGGAAGCCCCUUCCUAUGGGAAGAUCCAGAGUGUGACAGACUCCCGCUCUUUCCUUCAGUCUCUUUAAUUUAAGCAGAGAGGCACAGAGACACAGACAUUAACUUAGUUUGAACACUUGUAAACUCCACAUUUCCAGUGUCUUAAAAUUGCACGUGCGUAUUGUAGAUUCGUAGUGGUUUUUUCGGGACACUAUAGGACGGGAGAGCGGUGAUUGGUGACAGGACUGGACCUCAUGGCCCGCAAAGGGGGCAACUCUGGCCUCGCGUGCCUGUUCUGGGAGCAGGCACAGCUUUUAGGAUCUGGCCCAGACGGGUCCCUGCGCCCUGGCUCUUGCUCAGGAAGGGGUGUCCCUACUGAGUUGCGCCCUACACUUUCCCCUCCUCCCCCUCCCCGGCCUGCGGGGUUCCGCCUGGUGUCCCGGCAGAGGGCGCCAGCUCCCGAUCCCCGCUGGGGCCAGCAGAGGGGAGGGGAUUUGCAAGUCUCCAGGUAAGGAGGGGAGUGAACCACCCAGAGGCGGGGGUAGAGUGGGUGACCGGGGCUCAGGGCCAAGAGGCAGCGAGUGGCCUGGAAGCCGCUGGUCGGAACUGUGAUGCUGCUGACCGGCGGGAAGUCGCGAUCCUGCCUAGGAGGCUAGGGAGAGCUUGGCAAGGUGAGGAGUGGCCGGGAAUUCGGAGGCAGCACCGGGCCACAGACCUCAGUCCUCGGGAUGGCUUUGCGUGCCUACCAAGGCGGGAAGUGGGGGUCUGUUUCACGGCUGCCGGCGGUCCUGCGGGGGCGAGCCUGGAACCCGGAAGACACUGGCAGGGAGGGUCGGCGGGUCCACAGGCCGCUACUGCCCGGUGCUGUUUCAGCACAUGGAGUACCCGGCUUGUAACAAAGGCACCGUGCAGCUGCAGAUUCUACCCACUUCCGUCCUUGCUGCCCUGCGGCGAAGUCCGGCCAAGUUUGGAUUUUGGAUUUCCAAGUUUCGGGGAAGUUAGGUGAGAGGAAGAGGAGGGGCGGGGAAGAGGGCUCCCAGGCAAGGGCGCAGGAGGGAACACAAUUUCAACUUCGCAGUCAACUCCUUCUACACCGCUGCCAAGAACUGCCUGGGCUUCUUCGCCCUGGGCCGCGCCUAGGCAGGACCAGCGCGGGUUUGAACCAGGCGGUAGGCAAGCUCUGCCUCCUCCUACCCACGCCCUGCCCCGUGGAGCCUGCGCUUGUGCCGGGCUCCACAAGGGCGGGGCUUAGCGGGUGUUUCAACCUGCAACCCCUCCCCCUCCCCAGUGUGCUCCCCCCGCCCCCCAACCCAGUGCCUAGAGAGUGGAGUCCCAGAAAGUGGUAAUUGGGAGCCAUAGUAGGAGAGGUUCCAAUCUAGGGCCAUAGUCUGAGUCCUGUGGACAGCAAAGGGCCUGCUGUGCAGGACUUGCAGACCUGUUGAAAUCUGAUUACUGCAGUUUCUGUACUAUGGAAGGGAAGAGGCCACUUGGUUUCCACCAUCGCAUCCAUAUCUCAAGCUGUCACCCUGCAGACCUUACUUAGCACAGGCACCGUGUUUGUUCUGGGAUGGGAUGGGAGAGGCUUCCCUGUGUUCAGGACCUGGAUCUUAGUGUUCCUUAAGAGAAAGUAGCCAGGCACACCGUUGAUAGGUGCCCUCAAGCUGCAGGGUCAGUGCAUGAGUCACCUCUUCACAUCUCUUAGCCUGAGCCCAGUCUGCUGUUGUAAGGGAGGGGCUGGCUUGCUUGAGACAGACAGGAAAAUCCCCCAGCCUGAAUGGCUCCUCAGCUUUUGCCUUGCAUCUCACCACCUCCUUCAGAGAGUGGGUUUGAGAACAGAAGGGUCAGGGCCUGAGAGGCUGCUUAUGAGGAGGCGCUGCUUCCUCUUGCUUUGUUGUCUUGAGACAGGGUUUCACUCUGUAGCCGGCCUGGCAGCACUCAUGGUGUACCUGUCUCAGCCUCCUGAGUGCUGGGCACCCAAGCAUGAAGUUUUCACGUAUUGUUAAAUCCGUGCUAUAAUUCUGGUCACAUUUGAUCUGAUUGGACAUUAAACUUCUUUCAUUAAUGACACCACCUCACUGACACCAACUUGUAAAGUUUAAGAAAUGCUGGG
rnacentral:lncRNA from 1 species